AAUAUCACUACGCACAAAGCUAUAGGACUACUACACAGGUAAUAUCACUACGCACAAAGCUAUAGGACUACUACACAGGUAAUAUCACUACGCACAAAGCUAUAGGACUACUGCACAGGUAAUAUCACUACGCACAAAGCUAUAGGACUACUACACAGGUAAUAUCACUACGCACAAAGCUAUAGGACUACUACACAGGUAAUAUCACUACGCACGAAGCUAUAGGACUACUACACAGGUAAUAUCAC